UACCAGCACCCCGAGUGGUCGGGACGAUUAUUGGGCCUAAAGCAUCCGUAGCCGGUUCUGCAAGUCCCCCGUUAAAUCCAGCUGCUCAACAGAUGGGCCGCGGAGGAUACUCCAGAGCUAGGAGGCAGGAGAGGCAAGCGGUACUCAGUGGGUAGGGGUAAAAAUCCGUUGAUCCAUUGAAGACCACCAGUGGCGAAGGCGGCUUGCCAGAAUGCGCUCGACGGUGAGGGAUGAAAGCUGGGGGGAGCAAACCGG
rnacentral:rRNA from 1 species